GAUGAAGAACGUAGCGAAAUGCGAUAAGUAAUGUGAAUUGCAGAAUUCAGUGAAUCAUCGAAUCUUUGAACGCACAUUGCGCCCGGUAGUAAUCUGCCGGGCAUGCCUGUCCGAGCGUCAUUUCAACCCUCGAACCACUAUUCGCGUAGCUGGAUCGGUGUUGGGGCACUACGGUGGAAUACCCGUAGGCCCCGAAAUGAAGUGGCGGUCCCGCCGCGGCGCCCCCAUGCGUAGUAACAUCUCGUCUCGCAUCGGGUCCCGGCGGAGGCCUGCCGUCAAGCCUAUUUUCUAAUUACAGAUGGUUUGACCUCGGAUCAGGUAGGGUUACCCGCUGAACUUAAGCAUAUCAAUAAGCGGGAGGA
rnacentral:misc_RNA from 1 species